AAUUUGAUGACGUUUUACGCGGUCUGUAUCGACUGGUACACUUACUCCGCAGUCCGAAUCAACAGACGCUUAUAACUAUGCACUGCCACCUACAUCAGUCAAAAACGAAACAACAUUCAGCCAAAUGAAACUGCUUAAAACAAAGAGAAGGGGUCAUUUAAAGGCUGACAGGCUAAAUGACUUGCUCACUAUUAAGCUUGAGAGUGAAGAUAUUGAAAAAUUUGACCCUGAACCAGCCAUUCUUGAUUGGAUGACUAGUACAGCAUCUGGUCAGGGUAGGCGACUGAAUGCCACAAAGAGGAUCAAUCGACAACUUCCAAGACAGUUGUCAUUUCUGAUACAGAUGAGGAGCCGGAGGACCUAGUAGGGAUAGAUGAUGAUGAUGAUAUUGCACAGCAGGAAACGAGUGUCAUGAAAGACUUCUUUGGUGAAAAAGACGACGAUGAUGAUGAUGAUGAUGAUGUCGAGAUGACAGAAGAUACUGUUUUCUCUCUUCUUUUGUCAUUUAGAGAAUAAUAAAACAACUCUG